UGUUUGUUGUUGUUUGUUUCUUCUUGUCCUUUUCUUUUUAUCGACGCGUUGCGUGUCUCUCUCUCUUUUGUUCGUUCGUUUAGUAGUGUGCAGGGGGGUGAGGGUGUCAGAUGAGGGUAAAGGUUUGUAAAUGUGUAGUAUAGGGUAGGUUGGUGUAUUGAGUGUGUGUAUUAUGAACGAGAAAAAAAAAAAGGACAAGAA
rnacentral:ribozyme from 9 species